ensembl:miRNA gga-mir-7470 gga-mir-7470
UGUGAUCUUGAAGAACGUGGGCCUGGCACAAAGCAGAGCUAGGCCCCUGUGCUUUAGGAGAGCAAAA